CAAAGAUAGACAACCUCAGAAUCUGAACUCGGAGGCCGAACAGAGAUGCUUUGAAGAUGUGGAGUGGCUAGGAAAGAUGAACCAUCACAAGGAUGCUGAACCGGCACAAGAUGGCACAGAAUCAGUUUCAUCUACUGGUGAUGUCCCUGAAAGUAGCAUCUGCAAAGUGUUAGACGGAGCAGAUUAUGAGGAUAAGAAUUCAGUGGUGGUAAAGAGUAGAAACCGGAUAGGGUAUACUACAGCUGCCCUGGGCUUGAUCUGGGGUGCUUUCAUGGUACUUCUUGCCACCAUCUUCUCAUCAAUGUGGACUGACAAUGAUGAGCUUGUCUUUGAUAUGGUUCCCACUUAGUAUUUGCUCCUUGUCAUCUUUAGGUUGG
rnacentral:lncRNA from 1 species